AACGAACGCUGGCGGCAUGCCUAACACAUGCAAGUCGAACGAGACCUUCGGGUCUAUUGGCGCACGGGUGCGUAACGCGUGGGAACCUUCCCUUAUGUUCGGAAUAACUCCCCGAAAGGGGUGCUAAUACCGGAUAAUGUCUUCGGACCAAAGAUUUAUCGCCUUUGGAUGGGCCCGCGUUGGAUUAGCUAGUUGGUAGGGUAAAAGCCUACCAAGGCGACGAUCCAUAGCUGGUCUGAGAGGAUGAUCAGCCACACUGGGACUGAGACACGGCCCAGACUCCUACGGGAGGCAGCAGUGGGGAAUAUUGGAAAAUGGGCGAAAGCAUGAUCCAGCAAUGCCGCGUGAGUGAUGAAGGCAUUAGGGUUGUAAAGCUCUUUUAACCGGGAUGAUAAUGACAGUACCGGGAGAAUAAGCUCCGGCUAACUACGUG
rnacentral:rRNA from 1 species